rnacentral:rRNA from 1 species
AGUGAACGCUGGCGGUAGGCCUAACACAUGCAAGUCGAACGGCAGCACAGGAGAGCUUGCUCUCUGGGUGGCGAGUGGCGGACGGGUGAGGAAUACAUCGGAAUCUACUCUGUCGUGGGGGAUAACGUAGGGAAACUUACGCUAAUAUCGCAUACGACCUACGGGUGAAAGCAGGGGACCUUCGGGCCUUGCGCGAUUGAAUGAGCCGAGGUCGGAUUAGCUUGUUGGCGGGGUAAAGGCCCAACAAGGCGACGAUCCGUAGCUGGUCUGAGAGGAUGAUCAGCCACACUGGAACUGAGACACGGUCCAGACUCCUACGGGAGGCAGCAGUGGGGAAUAUUGGACAAUGGGCGCAAGCCUGAUCCAGCCAUACCGCGUGGGUGAAGAAGGCCUUCGGGUUGUAAAGCCCUUUUGUUGGGAAAGAAAUCCAGCUGGCUAAUACCCGGUUGGGAUGACGGUACCCAAAGAAUAAGCACCGGCUAACUUCGUGCCAGCAGCCGCAGUAA